GUCCAGAGAUGGGAAUCGAACCCACAGUGUUCUGCUUACCGGGCAGAUGCCAUGUCCACUAGGCUACCCUGGA
rnacentral:tRNA from 1 species